rnacentral:tRNA from 1 species
ACUCUUUAGUGGCAGUAGUCAGCCCAUCAGUCUCCUAAACUGAAGGUCCCAAGUUCGAUCCUUGAAAGGAGAA